CCUACGGGAGGCAGCAGUGGGGAAUUGUUCACAAUGGGCGCAAGCCUGAUGACGCAACGCCGCGUGGGGGAUGAAGGUCUUCGGAUCGUAAACCCCUGUCGAAUGGGACGAAUAGCUUCCGGAUUAAUACCCCGGAGGAAUGACGGUACCGUUAAAGGAAGCCACGGCUAACUCUGUGCCAGCAGCCGCGGUAAUACAGAGGUGGCAAGCGUUGUUCGGAAUUACUGGGCGUAAAGGGCGCGUAGGCGGCCAUCUAAGUCAGACGUGAAAUCCCCCGGCUCAACCUGGGAACUGCGUCUGAUACUGGAAGGCUAGAGUUUGGGAGAGGGAUGUAGAAUUCCAGGUGUAGCGGUGAAAUGCGUAGAUAUCUGGAGGAAUACCGGUGGCGAAGGCGGCAUCCUGGACCAAUACUGACGCUGAGGCGCGAAAGCUAGGGGAGCAAACGGGGAUUAGAUACCCCCGGGUAGUCCCUAGCCCUAAACGAUGAAUACUUGGUGUGGCGGGUAUCGAUCCCUGCCGUGCCGAAGCUAACGCAUUAAGUAUUCCGCCUGGGGAUACGGUCGCAAGGCUGAAACUCAAAAGUNUAGUGCGNGNGAGACGCGACGACGACGACGACGGAGGAGGAG
rnacentral:rRNA from 1 species